rnacentral:misc_RNA from 1 species
AUAUGCAUUCGAGUCUGAGCUACAAAUCAGAAACACAAAACAACAAACUACUACCCAAAGGCAAAUAGAUAAAUUCCAGACAAAAAGGACUGACUCGGACCCAAAUUACUUCUUCUCUUCCUUCUCAGCCUCCGCAGCCUUCUUCAUCCUAGCACCAAUCUGCUUCUGAUUCAUUCGCUCAACACGAAGCUUGCCAUAUGCCUUGAAAGCCUUCAUCUCAUCGGUCACCUUCACA